rnacentral:rRNA from 1 species
GACGAUCAGUAGCCGACCUGAGAGGGUGAUCGGCCACAUUGGAACUGAGACACGGUCCAAACUCCUACGGGAGGCAGCAGUGGGGAAUAUUGCACAAUGGGCGAAAGCCUGAUGCAGCAACGCCGCGUGAGUGAUGAAGGCCUUCGGGUCGUAAAACUCUGUCCUCAAGGAAGAUAAUGACGGUACUUGAGGAGGAAGCCCCGGCUAACUACGUGCCAGCAGCCGCGGUAAUACGUAGGGGGCUAGCGUUAUCCGGAUUUACUGGGCGUAAAGGGUGCGUAGGCGGUCUUUCAAGUCAGGAGUGAAAGGCUACGGCUCAACCGUAGUAAGCUCUUGAAACUGGGAGACUUGAGUGCAGGAGAGGAGAGUGGAAUUCCUAGUGUAGCGGUGAAAUGCGUAGAUAUUAGGAGGAACACCAGUUGCGAAGGCGGCUCUCUGGACUGUAACUGACGCUGAGGCACGAAAGCGUGGGGAGCAAACAGGAUUAGAUACCCUGGUAGUCCACGCUGUAAACGAUGAGUACUAGGUGUCGGGGGUUACCCCCUUCG